UUUUAUGACUUUGGGAGCUAAAGUCCUUACUCUGUCAUUUACUAAGAAUUAAUUUGCCAAAAAAAAAAAUCAAUCUAGGCUGUUCUUGUAGCAAACAAAAAGAUACGUCUGAGCUAAGUUGUCCCAGAUGAAUCAUAAAAUAUAACUUAAUAGGCACAUGCAUCUGUUUCAUGGAAACUGCAGGGGAGAGGAAAAUUAUAUACCUGACCUGUUCCAGGAUUACAAAAGCUCAUGGUCCUCUAACAUGACAGAGGUCAGAAUUUACCAAGACAAGUAUUAACUGCUAUAGAGAGCAAAGCACUAAGGAUAGAAAAAGCCUCUUCCUUUAACUUCUCCACACAGAGAAGAUUGUGAUAUUUACCAUGGAUAGUAAACGUUUCUGCAAGACAAGCCUGGAGGUUGAGGCAAUGAAGAGAGAUUGCUGUCCUGCUGACGAAAGCCUGCAUGCUUCCAGCUCAGAACUGCAAAGAUUUCAUAAGACGAUGAAAAGGUAUCCCACACUUUUCCCCUCUGCUGGAUUUUCCAUUGGAAACACAUGCUGGAGGCACAAGCGGAUCAAUAACAUCACAGAGCUUUAAAUACUGAUUAAAUGAUCAAAGACAGAUACAUUUGAGGAUAAGUUGAAAAACUGUUCACAGAAGCAGCUGGUGCUGAGCAGAAGUGACUGGACUGGACAAUGAGGGUUUUGUGUGCAGAUACGUUUGAAUUUUUCUGCCUGGAAUUCUGUGCUUGUUAUAUAACGUCUCUUGAUGAAUUGAGCCCCUGUGCCAGGUUGUCGGCUGCAGCUGAGGUAUGUCUGGCACAGCCAAGGGGAACUGGCACGCCAGCCUGCUGCUAGGUUUUACCCUGUUCCACCCUGAGCCUAGGACAGAAUGAGCCAUAGGAAUACUUGACGGACUGGAUGUUCCUGUGUCGGUUCUGUACCACCUGAAGGCUCUCCUUCACACCAAACAAAAUAUCCAGUCCUUUGGCUUCACACUGGUCAGAGCAGUCCCACAGAAAUUCUGACUUCAAGAGAACGUUCCUGGAGGCCACAUCCUCCGGUCAUGAGCAGACAGCCUUUUGCAUAAGGUAAGGAAAAAACCCAUUCCACUGGUCACGUGCCACUCUGACAACUCCUGAUGUCUGGGUGACCUAGAAGACAUUAGGUGCAUUAGGACAACUGGAAUUUGUUAUAGUGAAUAUGCAAGUGAUUCUAGUUUUGUAUUUUCAGGGUCCCAAGUGGAAGAGGUCUUAAGAAGGUAUUCCAAGAGAGUCAUGGAGAGAAGGGCUUUCCCUUUGUUCCAUGCAGUAUUAAGGAGUGACCAGAAUUAGGGAAGACUAACUAGGGAAGGUUGCAUGCAGGUGAACUUUUUUUUAACCAUUUUUCCUGACUAUGAUCCUACAAAUAGUAGGGGUUCAUUUCAAGAAGUUGGAUUUAUAUAAUUUACCUAUCCUUGUGAGGCAGAUGAAAAUUGGUGUGUAUUGCCUUUAAGAAACAAGUAACUGGCUCUUUCCUGCCUCUUAAAAUGUGUAUUCAUGCAGACACCAAUGCAGAGACCAAAAAUUUCAUGAAAUCAAUGAAAUCCUACGCAAUACUGGAUGGAAGCACUACCUUGUACAAUUUCUGCUUCUCCCUGUGUGCUAAGAGACUUUCUUUAUUGGAUAUUCUUCUACCUAACUGCUUGCUAUACACAAUCUUUCCCUUUUUUCCUUCUUGAUAUAAAUCAACUAUCUUUACUAAGAAUGAAAAUUUAAUAACAUGUUAUAGAUUCAGAUGAAUCAAUAGCUCUAAUGGCUUGGAAGAGAGUUUUGCCCAGUUGAUUAAUUUGGAUUAUCAAAUUCUGGAGACAUAGACCGCAGUCCAUGGAUUUUAUGAUGCCCAAGAUGGCAUUGCCUUCAUCCAGGAGGUAACUGACGAUACCUAAUUAAUGACAAAUGUUUCAAACACAUACUUGCUGUAGCUACUAUAGUCUUUUUUAGCUGAACUCAGCAAUUUAUCUUUCUUCCUGGCUCAUUAAACACUAUUUUGAGCUCCACUAAUAUACAGCUGAUGAUCAUGUCUUUAAGAGUAUUUGCAAAUCAGUCACCUCUGCCCUGGAAUGAGUUCUUAAAAAGUCUAAAUAUCUACAAUCAUGUAAAACAGAGUGCAUAUCAACCCUUCAGGGCCUGUAUCAUUUGAAGGUUGGGGGGAUAUUUUCUCCUUUAUCCUGAUGAGAUCUCUUGGUAAGAGGAGCUCUUCUGGUAAAAUCCUCUCUCCUCCUGCUAGUCUGCAUGUGAAAUGUACAAAUUCAGUCUCAACUACAUUUUCAGGUUGUAUUUAUAAAUUUUAUGGCUAGAUUCUGCAUAUCAACUGCUUCUCCUCAGAGGAGCAUUUCCCAGUAUAAAGGAGUCUUCAGUGGGACAACACAUAGAUAUUACUCACGUAUCCAUCAGCAAAUUAUCUACGCAGCAGUCACAAAAUUGAGAUUUGGUAGUAAAAAUAAUUGAUUUUUUUCACUGCAGUAGCUGAGUUGAGAAGUUAGAAAAGAGUCUUAAUUUAGAGUGACUGGCAAUAGAAGUGUUGGGGUUAUAUCUCAGAAUUCAAAAAGGGCAUUCAGCUGUAUCAGGGUUCAAACCCAAAGGAGGCCUGCGUAAAGGACCACUUCUUCAACCUGCCAGAGGCAUACCCUGCUCCCAGUAUUUGAAAGUUAGCUUAGCAGAGGUCACCCUUAGCAAAUGCCCUUUUUAUAUUCAGCUGUGGCUA